rnacentral:rRNA from 1 species
CCUACGGGAGGCAGCAGUGGGGAAUAUUGCACAAUGGGCGCAAGCCUGAUGCAGCCAUGCCGCGUGUGUGAAGAAGGUCUUCGGAUUGUAAAGCACUUUAAGUUGGGAGGAAGGGCAUUAACCUAAUACGUUAGUGUUUUGACGUUACCGACAGAAUAAGCACCGGCUAACUCUGUGCCAGCAGCCGCGGUAAUACAGAGGGUGCAAGCGUUAAUCGGAAUUACUGGGCGUAAAGCGCGCGUAGGUGGUUUGUUAAGUUGAAUGUGAAAUCCCCGGGCUCAACCUGGGAACUGCAUCCAAAACUGGCAAGCUAGAGUAUGGUAGAGGGUAGUGGAAUUUCCUGUGUAGCGGUGAAAUGCGUAGAUAUAGGAAGGAACACCAGUGGCGAAGGCGACUACCUGG